GUGCUCAAUAAUAUUUGCUGCACAUAUGUUAAAAUUGAAACAAUACAGAGAAGAUUAGCAUGGGUCCUGUGCAAGAAUGACAGAAAAAUUUGUGAAACGUUCCAUAUUUUU
ensembl:snRNA U6 U6 spliceosomal RNA